CUCAGUAAUUGAAUUCAAAAUAAAUCUAAAUAAAACAAUGUUCAAUGUUUUAACUUAAAACAGUCAAAUAAACGUAAACUACUAAAAAUGCCCCUCGUCUACUUCCAUGGUAAGGAUGCAAAAUUUUGUU